UCGGUAAAAGAUGGGCCCGCAUCUGAUUAGCUAGUUGGUGAGAUAAUAGCCCACCAAGGCAACGAUCAGUAGCCGACCUGAGAGGGUGACCGGCCACAUUGGGACUGAGACACGGCCCAAACUCCUACGGGAGGCAGCAGUGGGGAAUAUUGCACAAUGGGCGAAAGCCUGAUGCAGCAACGCCGCGUGAAGGAAGACGGUUUUCGGAUUGUAAACUUCUAUCAAUAGGGAAGAAAGAAAUGACGGUACCUAAAUAAGAAGCCCCGGCUAACUACGUGCCAGCAGCCGCGGUAAUACGUAGGGGGCAAGCGUUAUCCGGAAUUACUGGGUGUAAAGGGAGAGUAGGCGGCAAGGUAAGCGAUAUGUGAAAGCCUUAGGCUUAACCUAAGGAUUGCAUAACGAACUAUCUAGCUAGAGUACAGGAGAGGAAAGCGGAAUUCCUAGUGUAGCGGUGAAAUGCGUAGAUAUUAGGAAGAACACCAGUGGCGAAGGCGGCUUUCUGGACUGAAACUGACGCUGAGGCUCGAAAGCGUGGGGAGCGAACAGGAUUAGAUACCCUGGUAGUCCACGCUGUAAACAAUGAGUGCUAGGUGUCGGGGAGGAAUUCCCG
rnacentral:rRNA from 1 species